UACAGAGGUCUCAAGCGUUGUUCGGAUUCAUUGGGCGUAAAGGGUGCGUAGGUGGCGCUGUAAGUCGGGUGUGAAAUUUCGGAGCUUAACUCCGAAACUGCAUUCGAUACUGCGGUGCUUGAGGACUGGAGAGGAGACUGGAAUUUACGGUGUAGCAGUGAAAUGCGUAGAUAUCGUAAGGAAGACCAGUGGCGAAGGCGAAUCUCUGGACAGUUACUGACACUGAGGCACGAAGGCCAGGGGAGCAAACGGG
rnacentral:rRNA from 1 species